rnacentral:rRNA from 1 species
AUUGAACGCUGGCGGCAUGCCUUACACAUGCAAGUCGAACGGUAACGCGGGGCAACCUGGCGACGAGUGGCGAACGGGUGAGUAACGCAUCGGAACGUGCCCAGUAGUGGGGGAUAGCCCGGCGAAAGCCGGAUUAAUACCGCAUACGACCUACGGGUGAAAGAGGGGGAUCGCAAGACCUCUCGCUAUUGGAGCGGCCGAUGUCAGAUUAGGUAGUUGGUGGGGUAAAGGCCUACCAAGCCUACGAUCUGUAGCUGGUCUGAGAGGACGACCAGCCACACUGGGACUGAGACACGGCCCAGACUCCUACGGGAGGCAGCAGUGGGGAAUUUUGGACAAUGGGCGCAAGCCUGAUCCAGCCAUGCCGCGUGCGGGAAGAAGGCCUUCGGGUUGUAAACCGCUUUUGUCAGGGAAGAAACGCUCUGGACUAAUACUCUGGGGUAAUGACGGUACCUGAAGAAUAAGCACCGGCUAACUACGUGCCAGCCGCCGCGGUAA